UACGUAGGGGGCAAGCGUUGUCCGGAAUCAUUGGGCGUAAAGCGCGUGUAGGCGGCUCGAUAAGUCUGCUGUGAAAGUCCAGGGCUCAACCCUGGGAUGCCGGUGGAUACUGUCGAGCUCGAGUCCGGAAGAGGCGAGUGGAAUUCCUGGUGUAGCGGUGAAAUGCGCAGAUAUCAGGAGGAAGACCAAUGGCGAAGGCAGCUCGCUGGGACGGUACUGACGCUGAGACGCGAAAGCGUGGGGAGCAAACAGG
rnacentral:rRNA from 1 species